AACGAACGCUGGCGGCAGGCUUAACACAUGCAAGUCGAGCGCCCCGCAAGGGGAGCGGCAGACGGGUGAGUAACGCGUGGGAAUCUACCCAUCUCUACGGAAUAACGCAUGGAAACGUGUGCUAAUACCGUAUAAGUCCUUCGGGAGAAAGAUUUAUCGGAGAUGGAUGAGCCCGCGUUGGAUUAGCUAGUUGGUGGGGUAAAGGCCUACCAAGGCGACGAUCCAUAGCUGGUCUGAGAGGAUGAUCAGCCACACUGGGACUGAGACACGGCCCAGACUGCUACGGGAGGCAGCAGUGGGGAAUAUUGGAAAAUGGGCGCAAGCCUGAUCCAGCCAUGCCGCGUGAGUGAUGAAGGCCCUAGGGUUGUAAAGCUCUUUCACCGGUGAAGAUAAUGACGGUAACCGGAGAAGAAGCCCCGGCUAACUUCGUGCCAGCCGCCGCCGUAAUAC
rnacentral:rRNA from 1 species